rnacentral:rRNA from 1 species
CCUACGGGAGGCUGCAGUGAGGAAUAUUGGUCAAUGGGCGCGAGCCUGAACCAGCCAAGUAGCGUGAAGGAUGACUGCCCUACGGGUUGUAAACUUCUUUUAUAAAGGAAUCAAGUGAGGCACGUGUGCCUUUUUGUAUGUACUUUAUGAAUAAGGAUCAGCUAACUACGUGCCAGCAGCCGCGGUAAUACGGAGGAUCCGAGCGUUAUCCGGAUUUAUUUGGUUUAAAGGGAUCUUAGAUGGGUUGUUAAGUCAGUUGUGAAAGUUUGCGGCUUAACCGUAAAAUUGCAAUUGAUACUGGCAGCCUUGAGUACAGUUGAGGUAGGCGGAAUUCGUGGUGUAGCGGUGAAAUGCUUAGAUAUCACGAAGAACUCCGAUUGCGAAGGCAGCUUACUAAACUGCCACUGACAUUGAUGCUCGAAAGUGUGGGUAUCAAACAGGAUUAGAUACCCGUGUAGUC